CAUUCCUCACUAUAAAAUUACUAAUUUACUGGUUUAAUAAUGAUUUUGAAAUCGUUUUAUACACCAUAGUGCUGCAUAAGCAUCUAAACAUUACUAAUUAUUUUGUGAUCAGAUUAAAGAACACAGUUUUUAUUAGCUGAAUGAAUGCACUCCAGUUUAUCAAGGAACUAUUGAAAUAUUUAACCUGCAAACACUCUAUAGAAAUAUUUUCUUACAUGUGAGUAUUCUCUAGAGGAAAUAGACGUAAAUUAAAUUAUACUUCAGCUUCAGCAAAAAUAGAAAUUAACAUGGAAUUUAAUAGUUUUACUCUUGCAUUUCCUUUUCAUAAAGAGAGAAUCUAGCCAGGUGAUGCGUCUGUCCGGUGCUGUGAAACUGAUCAUCUCACUAGUAAUACCUGCCAUGGUCUACAUUGUGGAGGCACGAAUGUCUGAACAAACUCGGGAUGCUGUCAGCCAAAAGCUCUGUGCAAGAAGACCGGAUAGGAUGUCAAAGGUGUCCAUACCGCCUAGCUCAACAAUAGUCUAUCGGGAGGAUCCUCUAGAAGCAAUAGGGAUAUUGCUUGUGGCAUCUCCAUAUACAGUGCCACUAAACCAAAAAUGACUUCAGCCUAUUAAGCUGUUGUGCUUUUUCUUCUUGUUGUUGUUCUUUAGCUCAACAGCAAUAGGUGUCUAUUUGCCUCAGAAUGUUUUAGUCAUCUGUAAAAAUGUUUGUGUCCAUUUGGAUAUGUUUAUGUGCAUGCAUGCAUGCUUUUAGAGUUCAGGCCUCACGAAGGAUUCCCACAACUCUUUUAUUCUGUUCAUGGAAUCCUCAGAAAGUGGAAAGGGAGCACUGUAAAUCCUUAGUAACUCUUGGAAAAUGAAAACAACAAAAUUUCCUUUGGCCAAUCACUGAGACAACUGCAGGUUUUUAAUGGAAAAAAAUAGAGCCAGAAAACUCCCUAAACAAUGGUGAACUUGAAUUCUGAGCACUGUAGAAAAAUCAUACUUGCAUGAUUAAAGAUUAUGGAAACAAAAUAUAGGGAAAACCAAAUAAACAAAUCUAAACUUCACA
rnacentral:lncRNA from 1 species